rnacentral:misc_RNA from 1 species
UACGGAGGGGGCGAGCGUUGUUCGGAAUUACUGGGCGUAAAGGGCGCGUAGGCGGUCCGGUCAGUUGGAGGUGAAAGCCCUGGGCUCAACCUGGGAGCUGCCUUCAAUACGGCCGGACUUGAGAGCUGGAGAGGAUGACAGAAUUCCCAGUGUAGAGGUGAAAUUCGUAGAUAUUGGGAAGAACACCGGUGGCGAAGGCGGUCAUCUGGCCCGUUUCUGACGCUGAGGCGCGAAAGCGUGGGGAGCAAACAGG